GGGGGAGGGGGGGGUGUUGUGGAGCAUUUUGAAAUUGUUUAUUGUAAUGUAUGUUGUUAAUCUAUUUUUCUUUGGCAUAGCAUAUUGCCAUUGAAAAUGUAACCCAAAUGUUGUAGUGUAACAUGAGAGAAAAUGGUAAAAACAAAAAACCAAACUGAACAAAAAUUCAAUUCAUUUCGGUUUUCCUCAUACUUCAAUUUUGACCGAUUGCACACCCCUAGUACAAAUAUAUAGAUUUUAGUUAUGAGUAAUAAUAUAAAUGGUUAACACAAUAAGAGCAGCUUAUACUCUUCAUUUAAUUUACAGCUUGUAACAAUGAACCCAAAAGCUCAAGCUAGUAAAUGAAGAGUGCUUGCCUAGCAUCGUUUUAAGCUAAUACCACAUUUCAAUCAAAAUAGAUGCGGGAGUCAUAUUCUCAAUUCCAAUAAAAGUUUAGGAAAACAAUGAAGCUUAACAGAAAUAAAACUAAGUGGUUUCAUUCCUAAAAGAAACUAAAACAGGACAAAUGGGUUCCAAAAAGUUUUAACAAAACCCAAAAACAGGACAGCACAAAACAAUUAGUAGUUGACCAAGACAAAUAAAUAUAACUAGGACCGGCAAACAAGCCAAGCCAAGCUAAGGCUUGGCAUUUCACUGUUCAAGUCUGUUACUAAAGGCACCAAAAGGCACCGGACAAGGCAAGGAGCGAUCCAGUUCCAAGAGGCGAGCGCCUUUCUCUCCAAGGCACGGAGGCGCCAAGCGACAAAAGGCACACCUCUUAAAAAGUAACUUUUUUAUUAU
rnacentral:misc_RNA from 1 species